UACGGGGGGGCAAGCGUUGUUCGGAAUUACUGGGCGUAAAGGGCGCGUAGGCGGCCUUCUAAGUCGGACGUGAAAUCCCUCGGCUUAACCGAGGAACUGCGUCUGAUACUGGAAGGCUUGAAUCCGGGAGAGGGAUGUGGAAUUCCAGGUGUAGCGGUGAAAUGCGUAGAUAUCUGGAGGAACACCGGUGGCGAAGGCGGCAUCCUGGACCGGCAUUGACGCUGAGGCGCGAAAGCUAGGGGAGCAAACGGG
rnacentral:rRNA from 1 species